rnacentral:rRNA from 1 species
AUUGAACGCUGGCGGCAGGCCUAACACAUGCAAGUCGAGCGGAUGAAGGGAGCUUGCUCCUGGAUUCAGCGGCGGACGGGUGAGUAAUGCCUAGGAAUCUGCCUGGUAGUGGGGGAUAACGUCCGGAAACGGGCGCUAAUACCGCAUACGUCCUGAGGGAGAAAGUGGGGGAUCUUCGGACCUCACGCUAUCAGAUGAGCCUAGGUCGGAUUAGCUAGUUGGUGGGGUAAAGGCCUACCAAGGCGACGAUCCGUAACUGGUCUGAGAGGAUGAUCAGUCACACGGGAACUGAGACACGGUCCAGACUCCUACGGGAGGCAGCAGUGGGGAAUAUGGGACAAUGGGCGAAAGCCUGAUCCAGCCAUGCCGCGUGUGUGAAGAAGGUCUUCGGAUUGUAAAGCACUUUAAGUUGGGAGGAAGGGCAGUAAGUUAAUACCUUGCUGUUUGGACGUUACCAACAGAAUAAGCACCGGCGAACUGCGU